GAUAUGUUUGAAUUAAUUUAAAUUGAUUAUAGAUUCAUAAGGAGGAGUAGCUUCAGUUUUGAUCACAACUAAAUUAGUGUUGUUAUAUCAGGUAAUCAGGGGUAGCGGGGAUCGUGAUGAGUGACACCCACCUUUAGUUGCUUUCGUUGUUAGGGGCUAUAAUAAGACUUUAGAGCUUAUAUUUCUAUUGAUUUCAGACUUUGUUGGAUUUAUUAUCAUGGAGUUUCAGACUUUAUUAUCCAUAUUGACAUUUUGGUUGUUAAAUUAUUAUAUUAUUUCUGAAUGAA